GACGAACGCUGGCGGCGUGCCUAAUACAUGCAAGUUGAGCGCUGAAGGUUGGUACUUGUACCAACUGGAUGAGCAGCGAACGGGUGAGUAACGCGUGGGGAAUCUGCCUUUGAGCGGGGGACAACAUUUGGAAACGAAUGCUAAUACCGCAUAAAAACUUUAAACACAAGUUUUAAGUUUGAAAGAUGCAAUUGCAUCACUCAAAGAUGAUCCCGCGUUGUAUUAGCUAGUUGGUGAGGUAAAGGCUCACCAAGGCGAUGAUACAUAGCCGACCUGAGAGGGUGAUCGGCCACAUUGGGACUGAGACACGGCCCAAACUCCUACGGGAGGCAGCAGUAGGGAAUCUUCGGCAAUGGACGAAAGUCUGACCGAGCAACGCCGCGUGAGUGAAGAAGGUUUUCGGAUCGUAAAACUCUGUUGGUAGAGAAGAACGUUGGUGAGAGUGGAAAGCUCAUCAAGUGACGGUAACUACCCAGAAAGGGACGGCUAACUACGUGCCAGCAGCCGCGGUAAUACGUAGGUCCCGAGCGUUGUCCGGAUUUAUUGGGCGUAAAGCGAGCGCAGGUGGUUUAUUAAGUCUGGUGUAAAAGGCAGUGGCUCAACCAUUGUAUGCAUUGGAAACUGGUAGACUUGAGUGCAGGAGAGGAGAGUGGAAUUCCAUGUGUAGCGGUGAAAUGCGUAGAUAUAUGGAGGAACACCGGUGGCGAAAGCGGCUCUCUGGCCUGUAACUGACACUGAGGCUCGAAAGCGUGGGGAGCAAACAGGAUUAGAUACCCUGGUAGUCCACGCCGUAAACGAUGAGUGCUAGAUGUAGGGAGCUAUAAGUUCUCUGUAUCGCAGCUAACGCAAUAAGCACUCCG
rnacentral:rRNA from 1 species